AAUCCAUGAUGUGAGCAUUGUUGUAGCAAUACUUUAAAUUUAUCCCAAGCUUCAAAUAAUGAUUCCCAGUCUUUCAGCAUAAAGCUAGUGAUAUGGUGUUACAUGUGUGC